UGCAGGUCAGAACUUCAGAUAGGGCAUAGUGGGAUGGAUUGUCCCUGUUCUAAGAUGACUGUGAUAUCAGCUGGAAGACUUUGCAGCUGGGGACUAGAAUUAUCUGAAGACUCAUCCACCCACAUGUUUGGUUGUUGAUGCUGGCUGUCAGAACUCCUGGCACAAAGUAUGAAAUGAAAUGAAAUCCAGCCUCAUGAAAUGGAGCCAGAUCUUUAACACAGCCUAAGGAGUCCAGCUAUGUGACCAUGGGCAUCUCAUCAUUCUCAUCUGAAAAAUGGACAUGAUAAGUAUGCAUACCUCAAAAGAGCAUUAAGGGAAUUA